CUUCGGCCGCUCUGAUCUAUACACACCUGUGAACUGUUGGCCUUCGGGUCUUUAAAUACAACUGUGACGAACGUAAAUUAUUAUAACAAAUAAAACUUUUAACAACGGAUCUCUUGGCUCUCGCAUCGAUGAAGAACGCAGCGAAAUGCGAUAAGUAAUGUGAAUUGCAGAAUUCAGUGAAUCAUCGAAUCUUUGAACGCACCUUGCGCCCGUUGGUAUUCCGACGGGCAUGCCUGUUUGAGUGUCGUGAACAACCUCAACCUUGAUUGGUUUUACCAUCAAGGCUUGGACUUGGGUGUUGCUGCUGCAAAGUGGCUCGCCUUAAAAUCAUUAGCUGGACUUGUCUAUGACUUGGUUCGACUCGAUGUAAUAAGUAUUCAUCGGGGACAGGGUAAAACCUGGCCAAGGCUUGAUGCCGUCUGCUUCUAAUCAUGUUCUCACUAUGAGACGCUACUUUACUGUGUGGCCUCAAAUCAGGUAGGAUUACCCGCUGAACUUAAGCAUAUCAAUAAGCGGAGGAAAAGAAACUAACAAGGAUUCCCCUAGUAACGGCGAGUGAAGCGGGAUGAGCUCAAAUUUGUAAUCUGGUGGACUCAGUUCAUCCGAGUUGUAAUCUAUAGAAGUGUUUUCCGCGCUGGACCGUGUCUAAGUCCCUUGGAACAGGGUGUCAGAGAGGGUGAGAAUCCCGUGCUUGAUACGAUCACCAGUGCUAUGUGAUACACUUUCAACGAGUCGAGUUGUUUGGGAAUGCAGCUC
rnacentral:rRNA from 1 species